GACGAACGCUGGCGGCGUGCUUAACACAUGCAAGUCGAGCGGAAAGGCUCCUUCGGGGGUACUCGAGCGGCGAACGGGUGAGUAACACGUGAGUAAUCUGCCCCUGGCUUUGGGAUAACCACCGGAAACGGUGGCUAAUACCGGAUAUGACCUGCUCCGGCAUCGGGGUGGGUGGAAAGUUUUUUCGGCCUGGGAUGUGCUCGCGGCCUAUCAGCUUGUUGGUGGGGUAAUGGCCUACCAAGGCUUCGACGGGUAGCCGGCCUGAGAGGGUGACCGGCCACACUGGGACUGAGACACGGCCCAGACUCCUACGGGAGGCAGCAGUGGGGAAUAUUGGACAAUGGGCGGAAGCCUGAUCCAGCAACGCCGCGUGAGGGAUGACGGCCUUCGGGUUGUAAACCUCUUUCAGUACCGACGAAGCGCCGAUGAUGGUGGUGACGGUAGGUACAGAAGAAGCACCGGCCAACUACGUGCCAGCAGCCGCAGUAAAAC
rnacentral:rRNA from 1 species